CUUCCUGAUGAAUCCUUUAUGUGUGGUCCCUCAUGUCUAGGAGCCUACAGUAAAGAGUUGUACUGUUUGAAAGGAGGAUGAGGAGCUGCUUGUUAAAGGAAGGGGAGAAUGCUGGCCUUGCUGUUUACAUGCAGAAGAGAUGCUAGGUUCAAGGGCUGAGUACAUUCACUGGAAAGUUCCCCUACAACUCCAUAUGCUUUGGGUCAUGCUUAGAGGUGUAGAGGUCCACUGUUCCAGCUGGAAGAUGGCAUUUGUGACUGCAACCUGAAAAACAGGCAUUAGGAUUUAUUUCUGAAGCAACACAUCUGCAGCCUAACUAUGCUGUAAACUUUCAUUAAAUGCUUGAUGGAAAUCAAUGCUCAUUUAUAAAGUGAUAUUGCAGCACUACAGUUUGAUAUGACAGAACUAGUCAUGGUAAAUAAAUGAUUCAGGGAAUAUGGCUUUUUUGCUUUU